AUACGGAGGAUCCGAGCGUUAUCCGGAUUUAUUGGGUUUAAAGGGUGUGCAGGCGGGAGAUUAAGUCGGCGGUGAAAUUUUUCAGCUCAAAUGUAAAAGUGCCUUCGAAACUGGUUUUCUUGAGUGUAGAUGAAGUAGGCGGGAUUUGUGGUGUAGCGGUGAAAUGCAUAGAUAUCACGAGGAACUCCGAUUGCGCAGGCAGCUUACUAAACUACUACUGACGCUCAGGCACGAAGGCGUGGGGAUCAAACAGGAUUAGAUACCCUGGUAGUCCACGCAGUAAACGAUGAUUACUAGCUGUUUGCGAUACAAUGUAAGCGGCUGAGCGAAAGCGUUAAGUAAUCCACCUGGGGAGUACGGUCGCAAGAAUGAAACUCAAAUGAAUUGACGGGG
rnacentral:rRNA from 1 species